AACGAACGCUGGCGGCAUGCCUAACACAUGCAAGUCGAACGAAGGCUUCGGCCUUAGUGGCGCACGGGUGAGUAACGCGUGGGAAACUGCCUAUUGGUGGGGAAUAACGACGGGAAACUGUCGCUAAUACCGCAUAAGCCCUUCGGGGGAAAGAUUUAUCGCCGAUAGAUGUGCCCGCGUCCGAUUAGCUAGUUGGUGAGGUAAUGGCUCACCAAGGGGACGAUCGGUAGCUGGUCUGAGAGGAUGAUCAGCCGCACUGGGACUGAGACACGGCCCAGACUCCUACGGGAGGCAGCAGUGGGGAAUAUUGGACAAUGGGCGAAAGCCUGAUCCAGCAAUGCCGCGUGAGUGAUGAAGGCCUUAGGGUUGUAAAGCUCUUUCGGGUGGGACGAUGAUGACGGUACCACCAGAAGAAGCCCCGGCUAACUUCGUGCCAGCCGCCGCGGUAA
rnacentral:rRNA from 1 species